rnacentral:rRNA from 1 species
UCAGAUUGAACGCUGGCGGCAGGCCUAACACAUGCAAGUCGAACGGUAGCACAGAGAGCUUGCUCUCGGGUGACGAGUGGCGGACGGGUGAGUAAUGUCUGGGAAACUGCCUGAUGGAGGGGGAUAACUACUGGAAACGGUAGCUAAUACCGCAUAACGUCGCAAGACCAAAGAGGGGGACCUUCGGGCCUCUUGCCAUCAGAUGUGCUCAGAUGGGAUUAGCUAGUAGGUGGGGUAACGGCUCACCUAGGCGACGAUCCCUAGCUNGUCUGAGAGGAUGACCAGCCACACUGGAACUGAGACAUGGUCCAGACUCCUACGGGAGGCAGCAGUGGGGAAUAUUGCACAAUGGGCGCAAGCCUGAUGCAGCCAUGCCGCGUGUGUGAAGAAGGCCUUCGGGUUGUAAAGCACUUUCAGCGAGGAGGAAGGUGGUGAGCUUAAUACGCUCAUCAAUUGACGUUACUCGCAGAAGAAGCGCCGGCUAACUCCGUGCCAGCAGCCGCGGUAAAUACGGAGGGUGCAAGCGUUAAUCGGAAUUACUGGGCGUAAAGCGCACGCAGGCGGUUUGUUAAGUCAGAUGUGAAAUCCCCG